AUGUCCGGAUCCGGAGGUCAGGGCAAGUGGAUGGUCUCCUCCGUCAAGGAGGAGGACAUUACUAAGCUUCGGGCAGCCGGAUACCUGGCGAAGGAAAUCGCCCACCGUCUGCCGGCCGAGGGACAAGUCGUCCCCACGCCGAAGCCCAACGAGAGGGUGGUAUUCAUCCCUCAUUUCUUCCGCGGACUAGGGUUCCCACUCCACCCUUUCGUCCGCGGGCUGAUGUACUAUUACAGCAUAGAUUUCCAUGAUCUGUCCCCGAACUCCUUCCUCAACAUCUCGGCGUUUAUCGUCAUGUGUGAGGCCUUCCUCCGCAUCCAACCCCACUUCGGGCUAUGGCUCAAAGUCUUCAACGUGAAGCCGAAGGUGGUGGAUGGCCAGCAUGAGGAGUGCGGGGGAGCCAUGGUGAGUAAGCUGUCCAACGUCUCCAGG
rnacentral:rRNA from 1 species